GAUGAACGCUGGCGGCGUGCCUAAUACAUGCAAGUCGAGCGAACGGACGAGAAGCUUGCUUCUCUGAUGUUAGCGGCGGACGGGUGAGUAACACGUGGAAAACCUACCUAUAAGACUGGGAUAACUUCGGGAAACCGGAGCUAAUACCGGAUAAUAUUUUGAACCGCAUGGUUCAAAAGUGAAAGACGGUCUUGCUGUCACUUAUAGAUGGAUCCGCGCUGCAUUAGCUGGUUGGUAAGGUAACGGCUUAUCAAGGCAACGAUGCAUAGCCGACCUGAGAGGGUGAUCGGCCACACUGGAACUGGAACACGGUCCAGACUCCUACGGGAGGCAGCAGUAGGGAAUCUUCCGCAAUGGGCGAGAGCCUGACGGAGCAACGCCGCGUGAGUGAUGAAGGUCUUCGGAUCGUGAAACUCUGUUAUUAGGGAAGAACAUAUGUGUAAGUAACUGUGCACAUCUUGACGGUACCUAAUCAGAAAGCCACGGCUAACUACGUG
rnacentral:rRNA from 1 species